AUGCAAGUCGUACAMKGYAWYYUSCACCGKAWGUYUUGSUCCACCGGAAAAAGARGAGUGGCGAACGGGUGAGUAACACGUGGGUAACCUGCCCAUCASAAGGGGAUAACACUUGGAAACAGGUGCUAAUACCGUAUAACAAUCGAAACCGCAUGGUUUUGAUUUGAAAGGCGCUUUCGGGUGUCRCUGAUGGAUGGACCCGCGGUGCAUUAGCUAGUUGGUGAGGUAACGGCUCACCAAGGCCACGAUGCAUAGCCGACCUGAGAGGGUGAUCGGCCACAUUGGGACUGAGACACGGCCCAAACUCCUACGGGAGGSAGCAGUAGGGAAUCUUCGGCAAUGGACGAAAGUCUGACCGAGCAACGCCGCGUGAGUGAAGAAGGUUUUCGGAUCGUAAAACUCUGUUGUUAGAGAAGAACAAGGAUGAKAGUAACUGUUCAUCCCUUGACGGUAUCUAACCAGAAAGCCACGGCUAACUACGUGCCAGCAGCCGCGGUAAUACGUAGGUGGCAAGCGUUGUCCGGAUUUAUUGGGCGUAAAGCGAGCGCAGGCGGUUUCUUAAGYCUGAUGUGAAAGCCCCCGGCUCAACCGGGGAGGGUCAUUGGAAACUGGGAGACUUGAGUGCAGAAGAGGAGAGUGGAAUUCCAUGUGUAGCGGUGAAAUGCGUAGAUAUAUGKAGGAACACCAGUGGCGAAGGCGGCUCUCUGGUCUGUAACUGACGCUGAGGCUCGAAAGCGUGGGGAGCAAACAGGAUUAGAUACCCUGGUAGUCCACGCCGUAAACGAUGAGUGCUAAGUGUUGGAGGGUUUUCCGCCCUUCWGUGCUGCAGCUAACGCAUUAAGCACUCCGCCUGGGGAGUACSACCGCAAGGUUGAAACUCAAAGGAAUUGACGGGGKGCCCGCACAAGCGGUGGGAGCAUGUGGKUUAAUUUCGAAGCAACGCGAAGAACCUUUACCAGGYCUUGGACAUCCSUUUGWACCACUYCUAGAGAYAGARCUUCCCCCUUCGGGGGGCMAASWGAMCAUGGGUKGGUGCCAUUGGAUURGUCRGYACAKCUU
rnacentral:rRNA from 1 species